rnacentral:lncRNA from 1 species
GAGCCUGUGCUAGGGUAAAUUGACUCUCUGUUCUGGAGUUUUCUUUAAACUUUAAUCACCUCUUCUUCAAAUGAUUGCACAUGUAUUCAACAAGGAAACCCCUUUCCAACUCGUAGCAUGUCAAAUGAUAAUCAAGAUUUUUAGCUUACCAAUACAGUAGUCCAAUUCAGUUCUGUUAACUGAAAACAUCUCCCUUAACUCCCAUCAGUUCAGUUUAGCUGUAACUCAAUCGAUGCAGCAUGUAGCAGUUUUUAUUUUGUGUAAUGGCUCUAUGUAGUUAAUGUCUUCUCUGGUAUAAAUAUGGUGUUUGUUCUAUAUAUAUUUUUGACAUAUCCAGUCAUUUACCCUUCUGUCAGAUUGUGCACUUUAGUACAUCUUUGCCUAAAAGUGUUUCUCUAUGUUGUAUUUUCAGAAUUUUGGCAAGUUCCGAGUGCUAAUUCUUCUCUUUUUGGUAACUAGCUUGUACUUUGAGUUGAAGAAGCAAGUGUUCACCCCUUGGUCUUUGCACUGCUGCUGGAGUUGUGAUGAUGAUCCUUCAGGGUGGAUUCUCUGACUUUCAGUUCUUAUAGAAUUAUUUUGAAUGGUUGAGUAAGAGGUGCGCAUUUGAUAUGGAAACUAACACUGUGAAGAUGAUUUGAUCUGCAGAAUUUUCUUCUCUUUGUUUUCUUGGUUUAAUAAAUCAUGGCGUCUUUCACUAUUUCUUUCAGUAGUAGGUCGCGGAUUACAGAUUAUUGUUUCUCUUGAUCAGCAUCUGAAUAAAGGCUGUCCUUACUAAUUGUAUUCUACUUGUCAACUUUGUUGCCCAAAUACUUAAAUGUUAGCUUAAGUGAUGGAACAAAGAAUUCUUGUUGCUGGUAUGAACUCUGAACAUGCAAAUGCUGUCUAUGAUGAUCUGAUUCAUGUGAAUUUUCUAGUCCAUAAUGGUCAUCAAAUAGUAGCAUCCAACUGCUAGCUCUAGCUUGUCAAUGACAUUGUAUUCUGUUUUUUGUUAUUAGCGUAUCCUCGGUUGUCAACCAGCACCGACGGUUGAGUUGAAGACCACCUUCAAGUUCUAAUGGACCUUCAGACUGUUUAAUCUUGACAAGAAAUAUGAGCUGCUAAUUCUUGAAGAAAAGGUGUAGCCUAUGUACUGCAAUUGAACAUCUUGAAUAAAUGACAAAAGUUCAUCUAGGCUGUAGUCUAUGUACUGCAAUUGAUGUAUUGAUACAGAUGGAAGCAGAGUAUGUUAUGUGUUGCUUAUAACUAAGUUAUGUGCUGUUAUUGCCUCUGUACAUGUGCGAUUAUGUGUUGUCAUUGCCUAUGAACAUGUGGGAUCACGUAUUGUUAUUGCCUCUGGAUAUACUUAGC